AGGAGAUUAAAUAGUGAACUUAGGAAAUAUUGUAUACAAGCAUAAAAUGUUCUUGCUUUCAGUAUACAAAUCCAACAAUAUAUACAACAAACUACAACACAUUAAUUGCUAUCGGCUCCACGUAAACCAUCUUUCAAAGAGGAACAAUAAAAAAACACUUCUUCAGGUUAUAGUUACCAACCAAAGAAAUACCCGUUUCGUUACAACUUUUUAUAUCCAUCAUAGCCCAGCCGACUGCUCCGCAAUGCACCUUCGGAAGCUCGCUGAACAAGAAAAAAUGAAAAACAAACUACAAGGUUUAGCGUGAAGUACAACGUCGGAUUACAAAAAAAAAAUCUUCAAAGGUUAUGAAAGGUAAAGCCUUAACC
rnacentral:lncRNA from 1 species